UACGAAGGGGGCUAGCGUUGCUCGGAAUUACUGGGCGUAAAGGGCGCGUAGGCGGGUCAUUAAGUUAGAGGUGAAAGCCCAGGGCUCAACCCUGGAAUUGCCUUUAAUACUGUUGACCUUGAGUAUGGCAGAGGUGUGUGGAACUCCGAGUGUAGAGGUGAAAUUCGUAGAUAUUCGGAAGAACACCAGUGGCGAAGGCGACACACUGGGCCAUUACUGACGCUGAGGCGCGAAAGCGUGGGGAGCAAACAGG
rnacentral:rRNA from 1 species